AUUGAACGCUGGCGGAAUGCUUUACACAUGCAAGUCGAACGGCAGCACGGACUUCGGUCUGGUGGCGAGUGGCGAACGGGUGAGUAACAUAUCGGAACGUAUCCAAUAAUGGGGGAUAACUAAUCGAAAGGUUGGCUAAUACCGCAUACGCCCUAUGGGGGAAAGCUAGGGACCUUCGGGCCUGGCGUUAAUGGAGCGGCCGAUAUCUGAUUAGCUAGUUGGUGGGGUAAAGGCCCACCAAGGCGACGAUCAGUAGCUGGUCUGAGAGGACGACCAGCCACACUGGAACUGAGACACGGUCCAGACUCCUACGGGAGGCAGAAGUGGGGAAUUUUGGACAAUGGGCGCAAGCCUGAUCCAGCCAUUCCGCGUGAGUGAAGAAGGCCUUCGGGUUGUAAAGCUCUUUCGCAAGGGAAGAAAACUUAGCCACUAACAUUGGCUGAGGUUGACGGUACCUUGAUAAGAAGCACCGGCUAACUACGUGCCAGCCGCCGCAGUAACAC
rnacentral:rRNA from 1 species